rnacentral:rRNA from 1 species
UACAGAGGGGGCAAGCGUUGUUCGGAAUUACUGGGCGUAAAGGGCGCGUAGGCGGCCGCCUAAGUCAGACGUGAAAUCCCCAAGCUUAACUUGGGAACUGCGUCUGAUACUGGGUGGCUUGAGUUCGGGAGAGGAAUGUGGAAUUCCAGGUGUAGCGGUGAAAUGCGUAGAUAUCUGGAGGAACACCGGUGGCGAAGGCGGCAUUCUGGACCGAAACUGACGCUGAGGCGCGAAAGCGUGGGGAGCAAACAGG